ensembl:lncRNA novel transcript, antisense to KHDRBS2
ACCUCCAUGGAGCCCAGCAAGCUAAGAUCCACUGGCUUGAAAUUCUCGCUGCCAGCACAGAAGCAGUCUGAGAUGGACCUGGGAUGCUCGAGCUUGGUGGCGGUGUGGAGCGGGGUGGGCAUUUGCCAUUGCUGAGGCUUGAGUAGGUGGUUUUACUCUCACAGUGUUAACAGCCACUGGGAAGUUCGAACGGGACGGAGCCCACGCAGCUCAGUAAGGCUGCUGUGGCCAGACUACCUUUCUAGAUUUCUCCUCUCUGGUCAGGGCAUCUCUGAAAAAAAGGCAGCAGCCUCAUUCAGGGACUUAUAGAUAAAACACCCAUCUGCCUGGGACAGAGCACCUGGGGGAAGGAGCGGCUGUGGGUGCAGCUUCAGCAGACUUAAACCUCCCUGCCUGACAGCUCUGAAGAGGGCAGUGGACCUCCCAGCAUAGUGUCAGACUGCCUCCUCAAGUGGGUCUCUGACCCCCAUGUAUCCUGACUAGGAGACACCUCCCAGGAGAGGCUGAUAGACACCUCGUACAGGAGAUCUCUGGCGGGCAUCUGGCAGGUGCCCCUCUGGGACGAAGCUCCCAGAGGAAAGAACAGGCAGCAAUUUUUGCUGUUCUCAGCUUCUGCUGGUGAUACCCAGGGAAACAGGGUCUGGAGUGGACCUCCAGCAAACUCCAGCAGACGUGCAGCAGAGGGGCCUGACUAUUAGAAGAAAAACUAACAAACAGAAAGAAAUAGCACAUCCACUCAGAGACCCCAACCAAAAGUCACCAACAUCAAAGACCAAAGGUAGAUAAAUGCACAAAGAUGUGGAGAAACCAGUGCAAAAAGGCUGAAAAUUCCAAAAACCAGAAUGCCUCUUCUCCUCCAAAGGAUCACAACUUCUCUCCAGCAAGGGAACAAAACUGGACGGAGAAUGAGUUUGACGCACUGACAGAAGUAGGCUUCAGAAAGUGGGUAAUAACAAAUUCCUCUGAGCUAAAGGAGCAUGUUCUAACCCAAUGCAAGGAAGCUAAGAACCUUGAAAAAAGGCUAGAUGACUUGCUAACUAGAAUAACCAGUUUAGAGAGGAACAUAAAUGACCUGAUGGAGCUGAAAAACCAGCAUGAGAACUUCGUCAAGCAUACACAAGUAUCCAUAGCUGGAUUGAUCAAAUGAAAGAAAGGAUAUCAGAGAUUGAAGAUCAACUUAAUAAAAUAAAGCGUGAAGACAAGAUUAGAGAAAAAACAAUGAAAAGGAAUAAACAAAGCCUCCAAGAAAUAUGGGAUUAUGUGAAGAGACUAAAUCUAUGUUUGAUUGGUGUACCUGAAAGUGAUGGGGAGAAUGGAACUAAGUUGGAAAACAACCUUCAGGAUAUUAUCCAGGAGAACUUCCCCAACCUAGCAAGACAGAAUAACAUUCAAAUUCAGGAAAUACAGACAACACCACAAAGAUACUCCUCAAGAAGAGCAGCCACAAGACACAUCAUCAGAUUCACCAAGGUUGAAAUGAAGGAAAAACUGUUAAGGGCAGCCAGAGAGAAAGUUUGAGCUACCCUCAAAGGGAAACUCAUCAGACUAACAGCAGAUCUCUCGGCAGAAUCUCUACAAGCCAGAAGAGAGUGGGGGCCAAUAUUCAACAUUUCUAAAGAAAAGAAUUUUCAACUCAGAAUUUCAUAUCCAGCCAAACUAAGCUUCAUAAGCGAAGGAGAAAUAAAAUCCUUUACAGAAAAGCAAAUGAGGAGAGAUUUUGUCACCACCAGGCCUGCCUUACAAGAGCUACUGAAAGAAGCACCGCAUGUUCUCACUCAUAAUUGGGAACUGAAUCGCUUUGGUAUCAGGAUGAUGCUGGCCUCAUAAAAUGAGUUAGGAAGGAUUCCCUCUUUUUCUACUGACUGGAAUAGUUUCAGAAGGAAUGGUACCAGCUCCUCCUUGUACCUCUGGUAAAAUUCGGCUGUGAAUCUGUCUGGUCCUGGACUGUUUUUGGGAUGCAAGACUGGUUCAACAUAAGCAAAUCAAUAAACAUAACCCAGCAUAUAAACAGAACCAACGACAAAAACCACAUGAUUAUCUCAAUAGUUGCAGAAAAGGCCUGUGACAAAAUUCAACAACACUUUACGCUAAAAACUCUCAAUAAAUUAGGUAUUGAUGGGAUAUAUCUCAAAAUAAUAAGACCUGUCUAUGACAAAACCACAGCCAAUAUCAUACUGAAUGGGCAAAAACUGGAAGUAUUCCCUUUGAAAACUGGCACAAGACAGGGAUGCCCUCUCUCACCACUCCUAUUCAACAUAGUGUUGGAAGUUCUGGCCAGGGCAGUCAGGAAGGAGAAGGAAAUAAAGGGUAUUCAAUCAUGAAAAAAGGAAGUCAAAUUGUCCCUGUUUGCAGAUGACAUGAUUGUAUAUCUAGAAAACCCCAUUGUCUCAGUCCAAAAUCUCCUUAAGCUAAUAAGCAACUUCAGCAAAGUCUCAAGAUACAAAAUCAAUGUGCAAAAAUCACAAGCAUUCGUAUACACCAAUAACAGACAAACAGAGAGCCAAAUCAUGAGUGAACUCCCAUUCACAAUUGCUUCAAAGAGAAUAAAAUACCUAGGAAUCCAACUUACAAGGGAUGUGAAGGACCUCUUCAAGGAGAACUACAAACCACUGCUCAAUGAAAUAAAAGAGGAUACAAACAAAUGGAAGAACAUUCCAUGCUCAUGGGUAGGAAGACUCAAUAUCAUGAAAAUGGCCAUACUGUCCAAGGUAAUUUAUAGAUUCAAUGCCAUCCCCAUCAAGCUACCAAUGACUUUAUUCACAGAAUUGGAAAAAACUACUUUAAAGUUCAUAUGGAACCAAAAAAGAGCCUGCAUUGCCAAGUCAAUCCUAAGCCAAAAGAACAAAGCUGGAUGCAUCAUGCUACCUGACUUCAAACUAUACUACAAGGCUACAGUAACCAAAACAGCAUGGUACUGGUACCAAAACAGAGAUACAGACCAAUGGAACAGAACAGAGUCCUAAGAAAUAAUGCCACAUAUCUACAACUAUCUGAUCUUUGACAAACCUGAGAAAAACAAGCAAUGGGGAAAGGAUUCCCUAUUUAAUAAAUGGUGCUGGGAAAACUCGCUAGCCAUAUGUAGAAAGCUGAAACUGGAUCCCUUCCUUACACCUUAUACAAAAAUUAAUUCGAGAUGGAUUAAAGACUUAAAUGUUAGACCUAAUACCAUAAAAACCCUAGAAGAAAACCUAGGCAUUACCAUUCAGGACAUAGGCAUGGGCAAGGACUUCAUGUCUAAAACACCAAAAGCAAUGGCAACAAAAGCCAAAAUUGACAAAUGGGACCUAAUUAAACUAAAGAGCUUCUGCACAGCAAAAGAAACUACCAUCAGAGUGAACAGGCAACUGACAGAAUGGGAGAAAAUUUUCACAACCUACUCAUCUGACUAAGGGCUAAUAUCCAGAAUCUACAAUGAACUCCAACAAAUUUACAAGAAAAAAACAACCCCAUCAACAAGUGGGCAAAGGAUAUGAACAGACACUUCUCAAAAGAAGACAUUUAUGCAGCCAAAAGACACAUGAAAAAAUGCUCAUCAUCAUUGGCCAUCAAGGAAACGCAAAUCAAAACCACAAUGAGAUACCAUCUCACACCAGUUAGAAUGGCAAUCAUUAAAAAGUCAGGAAACAACAGGUGCUGGAGAGGAUGUGGAGAAGUAGGAACACUUUUACACUGUUGGUGCGACUGUAAACUAGUUCAACCAUUGUGGAAGUUGGUGUGGCCAUUCCUCAGGGAUCUAGAACUAGAAAUACCAUUUGACCCAGCCAUCCCAUUACUGGGUAUAUACCCAAAGGGUUAUAAAGUAUGCUGCUAUAAAGACACAUGCACACGUAUGUUUAUUGCGACACUAUUCACAAUAGCAAAGACUUGGAACCAACCCAAAUGUCCAACAAUGAUAGACUGGAUUAAGAAAACGUGGCACAUAUACACCAUGGAAUACUAUGCAGCCAUAAAAAAUGAUGAGUUCAUGUCCUUUGUAGGGACAUGGAUGAAGCUGGAAACCAUCAUUCUCAGCAAACUAUCGCAAAGACAAAAAACCAAACACCGCAUGUUCUCACUCAUAGGUGGGAAUUGAACAAUGGGAACACAUGGACACAGGAAGGGGAACAUCACACACUGGGGCCUGUUGUGGGGUGAGGGGAGCGGGGAGGGAUAGCAUUAGGAGAUAUACCUAAUGUAAAUGAUGAGUUAAUGGGUGCAGCACACCAACAUGGCAUAUGUAAACAUAUGUAACAAACCUGCACGUUGUGCACAUGUACCCUA